CACGUUUAAUGACUCAAAUUCGCGAUUAAAAACACCUGAUUGCCCAAUAAAAGAUCCGAUUAAACCUUAACCCAACUCUAAUACUUCAACCCGAUUUCACAUACUUAUUGGAGGGAUUUUCUUCAAUUUUUAAAAUUAGGGUUCGUAGAGAAAACUGGGACAUCGACCAUAAAAGAGAGAAGGAAUGAAUUUGAGCAAGUGAUUUCUGGGUAAGUCGUCGAAUCCACUAUCUUCUUCUUCUUCUGUUCAUAAGUCCUCUCCGUUUUCAAUGUUGGAUAAAUUGUUGCUUACGGGUUCUUUGUGUUUGAUUCUGUGUAAAUUAGAGAAUGGGGUGAAAACAUGAGAGGUGAAGGUUCUUGUUCAAGGAUAAAUGCACUGUCAAUUCAUGGUGUUCCAACACGGUGUUGGCGUGGAUGUGGCAUUACUACUUAUGUUUCGAAGACAAGGAAGAAUCCAUUUUGAAAAUUUUAUCGGUAUAAAGUAGCUGUGCAGAGAAUUGGAGAAAAUCAUCUCUUUAAAUGGGUUAAUGAAACUUGGAAUGAAGAGAUUCUUAUGGUGGAAACAAGACAGAGAACACUUGAAGAAGAAUUUGAAGGUCUUAGGAUGAUUGUUAGUGAUAAUUCUGAGGAAGGUGAGCUUCAAAGGAUGAAGCUUCAAAAGAUAAUGGUUGUCUUGGAGUUAUUACACUGCUUUGUAGUAAAUUUUGGUAAUUGUGUUUGUUAGUAAAAGAGAAUGUAUUGUCCUUUUAUGUGUUAUCUAGGAGCAAUGACGAGAUUCAUAUGUUUACGUAAGAUAAGUUAUGAACACCAGCCUGUUUAUGUGUUGCUUUAUUACCUAAUGUAUUGUCUCAUUUGGCUUCAUCUUUAUGAAUUAUUCCAUGUUUGAUCU